rnacentral:rRNA from 1 species
AUUAAACUGAAGAGUUUGAUCCUGGCUCAGAUUGAACGCUGGCGGCAUGCCUUACACAUGCAAGUCGAACGGCAGCACGGGAGCAAUCCUGGUGGCGAGUGGCGAACGGGUGAGUAAUACAUCGGAACGUGCCCUGUCGUGGGGGAUAACUAGUCGAAAGAUUAGCUA